GGGGGUGACCGGUUUCGACUUGGGACGGUCGACCAGGAGAAGCGGGCCGAGGAUGGGAGUUAUCUCGUUAACGAUCUUCCGAAACCAAUAAGUGCCAAUAACACGCGCACUAACUUCGCUCUCGCUGCUUAAACAGUGAUCGAAGCGUCAGACCACGGGUGCCUUCCCCGUGGACCCUGGCGUCAUUCAGAAGGCUCACCGCCUAGCCAGCGCCCGAGGGGCGAGGCGGGACAUUCAUCGGGCUGGGCUGGUUCAUCACUCGCCGACAAGAGGAUGACAGCCAAGUAGAACGCAAAGUCGGCUGCGCCCGGAGAAGACCUGGAACAUCUCUUAAGGACGGGGGUUCGACUCCCCCCACCUCCACGA
rnacentral:tmRNA from 1 species